rnacentral:rRNA from 1 species
UACGUAGGGGGCGAGCGUUGUCCGGAUUUAUUGGGCGUAAAGAGCUCGUAGGCGGUUUGGUAAGUCGGAUGUGAAAUCUCCAGGCUCAACCUGGAGGGGUCACUCGAGACUGCUAUGACUAGAGUUCGGUAGAGGAGUGUGGAAUUCCUGGUGGAGCGGUGAAAUGCGCAGAUAUCAGGAGGAACACCCGUAGCGAAGGCGGCACUCUGGGCCGAUACUGACGCUGAGGAGCGAAAGCGUGGGGAGCGAACAGG